UGGGGAAUAUUGGACAAUGGGCGAAAGCCUGAUCCAGCCAUGCCGCGUGUGUGAAGAAGGUCUUCGGAUUGUAAAGCACUUUAAGUUGGGAGGAAGGGUUGUAGAUUAAUACUCUGCAAUUUUGACGUUACCGACAGAAUAAGCACCGGCUAACUCUGUGCCAGCAGCCGCGGUAAUACAGAGGGUGCAAGCGUUAGUCGGAAUUACUGGGCGUAAAGCGCGCGUAGGUGGUUAGUUAAGUUGGAUGUGAAAUCCCCGGGCUCAACCUGGGAACUGCAUUCAAAACUGACUGACUAGAGUAUGGUAGAGGGUGGUGGAAUUUCCUGUGUAGCGGUGAAAUGCGUAGAUAUAGGAAGGAACACCAGUGGCGAAGGCGACCACCUGGACUGAUACUGACACUGAGGUGCGAAAGCGUGGGGAGCAAACAGGAUUAGAUACCCCAGUAGUCCCUGAGCGGGCUGGCAAGGCGCAU
rnacentral:rRNA from 1 species